rfam:Corchorus olitorius cultivar O-4 contig19204, whole genome shotgun sequence.
AUUCCAUGGUGCGGGCAUGAAGCAACAAGUCUAUUGAACCUUUUCAUGUAUUCAUAUAAGCUCUCAUCAGGAUUCUGCCCGAUUCCACCGAUCUCCUUUCUGAUGUU